AAUUCUCAACCGUCCUUUGAUUUAUUUCGAGGGGUGGCUUGGAUCUUGGGGGUUGCUGGCUGAUCCUAGUCGGCUCUCCUUAAAAGCAUUAGCGAAAGGUGGCAAGCCCUGCAUGCACGGCCUUCGACGUGAUAAUGAUCGUCGUGGCUGGAGUGUGAGGCUUGGAUAUAAACCUUUGCUUCUAAACCAUCGUAAUUGGGGGACUUUUUGCUUCGGCGGACGAACCUUUUUACUUUUUCUGACG
rnacentral:misc_RNA from 2 species